rnacentral:rRNA from 1 species
GACGAACGCUGGCGGCGUGCUUAACACAUGCAAGUCGAGCGAGAAAGCACCUUCGGGUGUGAGUACAGCGGCGAACGGGUGAGUAACACGUGGGCAACCUGCCCCAGAGACCGGGAUAACGUUCCGAAAGGAACGGUAAUACCGGAUGAUGCGCGAUCUGCCAAGUGGAUCGCGCCAAGCGGUAGCUUCGGCUUCUGCUCUGGGAUGGGCCCGCGCCGGAUUAGCUUGUUGGGGAGGGAACGGCUCACCAAGGCGACGAUCCGUAGCUGGUCUUAGAGGACGAUCAGCCACACGGGGACUGAGACACGGCCCAGACUCCUACGGGAUGCAGCGGUGGGGAAUCUUGCGCAAUGGGCGAAAGCCUGACGCAGCAACGCCGCGUGAGCGAAGACGGCCUUCGGGUUGUAAAGCUCUGUCAGGAGGGACGAAGCCACUCAGGUGAAUAGCCGAGAGGGUGACGGUACCUCCAGAGGAAGCCCCGGCUAACUACGUGCCAGCCGCCGCCGUAAGAC